rnacentral:rRNA from 1 species
AUGUUUGUUGCAUAUUGUGAUCCAUCGGAACCAUAUGAGCCUAUAACGGAGUGGCAUAGUGAUGCGCAUAGCCAACCUACCAACAUAGAACAAGAUGAUGAUGAUUAUCUUCGCAACCCAGUACCUGAGAAUGAGCAUGUUGGUGUUGAUGAGGAAAAUAUUUAUUUAGAGGAUGAACUUGUACCUCUUAUCAUGGUUCCUUGUUCCAAUAAAGAAAAGGACAAAGACUAUGUUCCUGAUCAUGAGAGCGAGGCUGAGAGCGAGGUUGAGAGCAAGGAUGAGAGCAAGGAUGAGAGCAUGUCAGAGGUUGAAGUAGAGGAAGAUGAGAAAUAUCACGAGGCAGAUCAUGCACCACACAUUGAAUAUAAUAAAUUAGAUCCUCCAAUGAACGAAGGAAGAAAAUAUCCCAAUAUGACAGAGUUUAAAUUGGCGCUUUCUCAGCAUGCAAUCAAACAUGAAUUUGAGUUUGACACCGAAAAGAGUGCACCACAUAGGUUCAGAGCUUAUUGUUCAAAAAGGGAUGAAGAUAAGUGUCCAUGGAGCAUAUAUGCUUCUACAAUGGAAGAUCAUAUGAAAUCUGUGUUUGAAUUCUAA